rnacentral:rRNA from 1 species
CGCUGGCGGCGUGCCUAACACAUGCAAGUCGAGCGGGACAUGCGACGGAUAGGAAGAUUCGGUGGACUUGAAGAUGCAUUGUCUAGCGGCGGACGGGUGAGUAACGCGUGAGCAACCUGUCCCUUACAGGGGGAUAACACAGCGAAAGUUGUACUAAUACCGCAUGAGACCACGGGAGGACAUCCUUCAGGGGUCAAAGGAGCAAUCCGGUAAGGGGUGGGCUCGCGUCCGAUUAGAUAGUUGGUGAGGUAACGGCCCACCAAGUCGAUGAUCGGUAGCCGACCUGAGAGGGUGAUCGGCCACAUUGGGACUGAGACACGGCCCAAACUCCUACGGGAGGCAGCAGUGGGGAAUAUUGGGCAAUACGGGGGGAAACCCUGACCCAGCAACGCCGCGUGAGGGAAGAAGGUUUUCGGAUCGUAAACCUCUGUCCUUGGUGAAGAGGAAGAGACGGUAGCCAAGGAGGAAGCCCCGGCUAACUACGUGCCAGCCGCCGC